AGAUGAACGCUGGCGGCAUGCCUUACACAUGCAAGUCGAACGGUAACAGGGAGCUUGCUCCGCUGACGAGUGGCGAACGGGUGAGUAAUAUAUCGGAACGUACCUAGUAAUGGGGGAUAACUAGUCGAAAGAUUAGCUAAUACCGCAUACGCCCUAAGGGGGAAAGAGGGGGAUCGCAAGACCUCUUGUUAUUAGAGCGGCCGAUAUCUGAUUAGCUAGUUGGUGAGGUAAAGGCUCACCAAGGCGACGAUCAGUAGCUGGUCUGAGAGGACGACCAGCCACACUGGAACUGAGACACGGUCCAGACUCCUACGGGAGGCAGCAGUGGGGAAUUUUGGACAAUGGGCGCAAGCCUGAUCCAGCAAUGCCGCGUGAGUGAAGAAGGCCUUCGGGUUGUAAAGCUCUUUUGUCAGGGAAGAAACGGUGCGGGCUAAUAUCCUGUGCUAAUGACGGUACCUGAAGAAUAAGCACCGGCUAACUACGUGCCAGCAGCCGCGGUAAUACGUAGGGUGCAAGCGUUAAUCGGAAUUACUGGGCGUAAAGCGUGCGCAGGCGGUUGUGUAAGACAGGUGUGAAAUCCCCGGGCUUAACCUGGGAAUGGCAUUUGUGACUGCACGGCUAGAGUGUGUCAGAGGGGGGUAGAAUUCCACGUGUAGCAGUGAAAUGCGUAGAGAUGUGGAGGAAUACCGAUGGCGAAGGCAGCCCCCUGGGAUAACACUGACGCUCAUGCACGAAAGCGUGGGGAGCAAACAGGAUUAGAUACCCUGGUAGUCCACGCCCUAAACGAUGUCUACUAGUUGUCGGGUCUUAAUUGACUUGGUAACGCAGCUAACGCGUGAAGUAGACCGCC
rnacentral:rRNA from 1 species